rnacentral:tRNA from 1 species
UAGGUUGAAGCCCGCUGGAUGGAGCGCUUGGUUGUUAGUUAAUGUUUUUACGGGAUCGAGGCCCGUCAGCCUAG